rnacentral:lncRNA from 1 species
GAGACAACUCGGCUACCAGACAAUACAAGACGCAAUAUACCAGUAGGGGAGACAACUCGGCUACCAGACAAUACAAGACGCAAUAUACCAGUAGGGGAGACAACUAGGCUACCAGACAAUACAAGACGUAAUAUACCAGAGGGGGAGACAAUAAAACCGCAACUCUGUGUCUGACACUACAACCAAACGAAAAGAAAAACAAACAAACAGUUUAGAAAAAAUAC